rnacentral:rRNA from 1 species
AGUGAACGCUGGCGGUAGGCCUAACACAUGCAAGUCGAACGGCAGCACAGUAAGAGCUUGCUCUUACGGGUGGCGAGUGGCGGACGGGUGAGGAAUACAUCGGAAUCUACUUUUUCGUGGGGGAUAACGUAGGGAAACUUACGCUAAUCCCGCAUACGACCUACGGGUGAAAGCAGGGGAUCUUCGGACCUUGCGCGAUUGAAUGAUCCGAUGUCGGAUUAGCUAGUUGGCGGGGUAAAGGCCCACCAAGGCGACGAUCCGUAGCUGGUCUGAGAGGAUGAUCAGCCACACUGGAUCUGGGACACGGUCCAGACUCCUACGAGAGGCAGCAGUGGGGAAUGUUGGACAAUGGUCGCAAGCCUGAUCCAGCCAGACCGCGUGGGUGAAGAAGGCCUUCGGGUUGUAAAGCCCUUUUGUUGGGAAAGAAAAGCAGCAGGUUAAUACCCCGCUGUUCUGACGGUACCCAAAGAAUAAGCACCGGCUAACUUCGUG